GGAAGAGAGUCUUAGAGAAAAGUUGCAUUAAAAAUUUGUGUCACAAGCAAUGUCUACCGCCAACCAAUUACCAAAGUUUAAAGCCAACACUGGUAUUAUGCAUUCUCACCCAUUUCCAUGCACAACGCUAUUCAUUCAUUUUCAGCAGUUUUAAAAGACAAUUUGGAAAAUUACAGUAGUAAAAACGGUGGAGAAAUUAAAGUUAUUGCAGCAUUUGAAAACAAGAGAAUUACGUGUAAGUUUUU